GACGAACGCUGGCGGCGUGCUUAACACAUGCAAGUCGAACGGAAAGGCCCUGCUUUUGUGGGGUGCUCGAGUGGCGAACGGGUGAGUAACACGUGAGUAACCUGCCCUUGACUUUGGGAUAACUUCAGGAAACUGGGGCUAAUACCGGAUAGGAGCUCCUGCUGCAUGGUGGGGGUUGGAAAGUUUCGGCGGUUGGGGAUGGACUCGCGGCUUAUCAGCUUGUUGGUGGGGUAGUGGCUUACCAAGGCUUUGACGGGUAGCCGGCCUGAGAGGGUGACCGGCCACAUUGGGACGGAGAUACGGCCCAGACUCCUACGGGAGGCAGCAGUGGGGAAUAUAGCACAAUGGGCGGAAGCCUGAUGCAGCAACGCCGCGUGCGGGAUGACGGCCUUCGGGUUGUAAACCGCUUUCGCCUGUGACGAAGCGUGAGGGACGGUAAUGGGUAAAGAAGCACCGGCUAACUACGU
rnacentral:rRNA from 1 species